GUGUUUUUGAUGUUUAUGUCCAGGUUUGUCUUAUAAUAUGAAUUGUUUUGCGGAAUGUUUCAUGUUGUCCUCCAAACUGUAUAUAUUAUUGCCAACAAAGUGGUUUUCCUUAGUUUUAGGUUUUGCUUGAUCGUCACAUAUGUUAGGAUGUGGCUUGUAUUUGGAAAUUUUUUUAUUGGUCCAAAUUAUGAUUAGACUCGAAAAGUUUACAGUGAUUCAAUCCUUCUGCUGUCACUACAAAUCUGACUAGGGAUGUAGACCAAUAU
rnacentral:misc_RNA from 1 species